AUUUCUAUGAAAAAAUUAAAAUGUAAGAAAUCUAUAUUGCAUCUGACUCCCGAAUGCAUUACUUGUUGCAUAAAGGUCUCUGUUUCAUGACAAAUAUAUGGAGCAGAGACUGCCAGCUAUUUCAAUUAGCUAGGUGCUCCCAGUUAGCACAUUCACUCACACAUGACUUUAUCUACAGGGGCAGCGGCCUCUACCUAACACACCUUGCCGUAGGCUACCGCGGUGUGUUUAACCCUUUUUAUAUACAGUCUGUGGUUUAAGAGCCUGCUGUUUCCUCUCUGCUGCUGACGCACUGCGGGGUCGCUAACCCUAAUGUAACACUGCUGCUUUUAAUGUAAAUUUUCGUAAGUUAGAAAGUUUUCCAGUUCAACUUUCACUCUGGCAGCGUGGAGAAUUUUUUUCCGACGUGUGAAACGCCGAGGGUUGCUGCGCCUCUUACUUCAACAAGCUAAAACCUCCGGAUACCUCUGUGUAAGCGCUGUGCACUGUAUAAAGGAAAUGUAGCAGUGCCGGUACAUCUGUCCAACUCUCCAAACUGGGGUUGUGCUGGCCACCAUCUGCUGCAGUAAAAAGACAACAUCGCUAUGAGUGGAAUUUUCUUUCCCUAUCGCUACAAUCUUUGAAGAAAACAAUACUUGUUCUCCAUGGUGAUUUAACUCAAUAAACAGACGUGUCAGUUAUUGCACAAACA